UAGAUAUUUUAGUUAGAUUGCAUGCAUUUAGAAAAACUAUCCGUUUUCAAAAGCUUGGAAAUUGUCUGUAUUGUCAUGAAGGCUUAUAACGGAUCUCUGCUGUAUUUAAUCACACAUUUCUCUGUGAAAUAAUUCUUAUUAGUCACAGGGGAUAUUGUUCCAGCUUAACGGACAGGUGUCAGUAAAGCACCGGCUGAUUUGAAGUUAUAUUUCAUUAAAGCAGAGCAUCCGUUGCGCAGUGUCACACGAAUUUCCUCUCCAUCGCUCUGCGUCAAGUCUUUUCUCAUCGUAUCUGGACUUAAGUGUAGGCCACUUAACUAUCUAAGCUUCUGCAGUGAUCAGUCCAUUUAUCUGGGAUUAUUGCAGUGAAUUUACUGUUUGGUUUCUUUCCAGCACCCAAAUGUCAAGUCCAAAGUUAUGUGUGCAGUAGCUUUACCGCGCAAGAGCCGCGCAGAUCCCCCGAAAGCUGGUAGCAGUUGAUCUUUGGAUAGAGCAUGAAAAUAAAUAAAUCCUCUUUAGCAGAUCAAUAUUCAUCCCCUUUAAUGCGGGAAGUGAAACUGCUGGAUUUGAGCUGGUAAUUCUGAUGAACAGCUAAUCGUUGAAAAACAAGCAGGAGGGCUUUGCCAUCCACAGCAGAUACUUGCACAUGAGGAGAUGAGUAAGAGAAGCACAUCAUCUGGCCUCCAAGAAAAAAAAGAAUCAAAUGAUCGAAAAUUUACAUCACAGGUUGUGACUAGGAAUAGCAGGCCCAAGUCUACAUACCAAGUCUGCAGAAAUCUCUGUGUUCUGUUAGUGAGUGCACAGCACAUUGUGAUUGAUGGCCCCAAGAUGUGUCGUAACUCAACAAAUAAAUAAAUAAGUGCUCCUCUAAAAAACGCCUGGAUUUUGCCUUUAAAAUAUGAUGGUUGUUAUCUCCAACUCUGUUGUUUUGAGUAUUGUGGAGAGUUCUUAUUUAAUGCUGAGAGUGUGUUUUGUUUACUUAGCUCAGUCAUGAUUUUAUGAAGAUUUUUAUGAAGUUCAUUGGCUUGUCUGAAAUCAAUGAAUUUUUCAUUACGCAAAAUUCACUGUGUAGACACA
ensembl:lncRNA